CGUGGGUAACCUGUCCAAGAGAUCGGGAUAACACCUGGAAACAGAUGCUAAUACCGGAUAAUAACAGAUGAUGCCUAUCAACUGUUUAAAAGAUGGUUCUGCUAUCACUCUUGGAUGGACCUGCGGUGCAUUAGCUAGUUGGUAGGGUAACGGCCUACCAAGGCGAUGAUGCAUAGCCGAGUUGAGAGACUGAUCGGCCACAUUGGGACUGAGACACGGCCCAAACUCCUACGGGAGGCAGCAGUA
rnacentral:rRNA from 1 species